ACGGUUCCCGUGAUGGGACCGCGUGAGGGAAACAGGUGCAAAUCCUGUACAGUACCCGCUGCUGUAAGCCUUCAUCUGCCUCGGACACCCUGCAAACCACUGUUGAUACGCUCAAUGGGAAGGUUCCGUCUGAGGGAGGGCAAGUCAGAAAACCUGCCGGAAGUCAU
rnacentral:ncRNA from 1 species